rnacentral:rRNA from 1 species
AUUGAACGCUGGCGGCAGGCCUAACACAUGCAAGUCGGGCGCUCGGCGGACGGGUGAUUAAUUUCUUGGGAUCUGCCUGAUGGAGGGGGAUAACUACUGUAAACGGUAGCUAAUACCGCAUACCAUCAUCUGAACCCAUAUGUGAUUAGCUUGUAGGUGAGGUAACGGCUCACCUAGGCGACUAUCCCUAGCUGGUCUGAGAGGAUGAUCAGCCACCCUGGGACUGCGACACGGCCCAGACGCCUACGUGAGGCGGCAGUGGGGAAGAUUGCACAAUGGGCGCAAGCCUGAUGCAGCCAUGCCGCGUGUAUGAAGAAGGCCUUAGGGUUGUAAAGUACUUUCAGCGGGGAGGCGUUACCCGAAGAAGAAGCACCGGCUAACUCCGUGCCAGCAGCCGCGGUAAUAC